AGUCGAGCGAGUGGAGUUCUUCGGAACAAAACUAGCGGCGGACGGGUGAGUAACACGUGGGCAACCUGCCUCAUAGAGGGGAAUAGCCUCCCGAAAGGGAGAUUAAUACCGCAUAAGAUUGUAGCUUCGCAUGAAGUAGCAAUUAAAGGAGCAAUCCGCUAUGAGAUGGGCCCGCGGCGCAUUAGCUAGUUGGUGAGGUAACGGCUCACCAAGGCGACGAUGCGUAGCCGACCUGAGAGGGUGAUCGGCCACAUUGGGACUGAGACACGGCCCAGACUCCUACGGGAGGCAGCAGUGGGGAAUAUUGCACAAUGGGGGAAACCCUGAUGCAGCAACGCCGCGUGAGUGAUGACGGCCUUCGGGUUGUAAAGCUCUGUCUUCAGGGGCGAUAAUGACGGUACCUGAGGAGGAAGCCACGGCUAACUACGUGCCAGCAGCCGCGGUAAUACGUAGGUGGCGAGCGUUGUCCGGAUUUACUGGGCGUAAAGGGAGCGUAGGCGGACUUUUAAGUGAGAUGUGAAAUACCCGGGCUCAACUUGGGUGCUGCAUUUCAAACUGGAAGUCUAGAGUGCAGGAGAGGAGAAUGGAAUUCCUAGUGUAGCGGUGAAAUGCGUAGAGAUUAGGAAGA
rnacentral:rRNA from 1 species